rnacentral:rRNA from 1 species
GCGCGAAAACUUUGCAAUGCGGGAAACCGUGACAAGGGAACUCUGAGUGCCCGUAAAAUCGGGCUGUCCAUCAGUUUAAAUAACUGGUGAAGAAAGGGCCGGGCAAGACCGGUGCCAGCCGCCGCGGUAAUACCGGCGGCUCGAGUGGUGGCCACUAUUACUGGGCUUAAAGCGUUCGUAGCUGGUUUGUUAAGUCUCUGGGGAAAUCUUCCGGCUUAACCGGAAGGCGUCUCAGGGAUACUGGCAGACUAGGGACCGGAAGAGGUGAGAGGUACUCCAGGGGUAGGA